AUGACGUCACAAAAGACGUGUCAGUGGAAGGAGUAGACAGGACCGUGGAGGAGCAUGUUGAAAAAUGUCCGAUUACUUUAAUUUAUCAUAGUUGGAUGGACAGUGGUAAACAGAACGGUUUGUGUUGACUGGCGAGUGCGUCGAAUACCGGUGUCGGUACGUGAUUAUCGUCGGGUUUCCGUUUAUCACGUGGGCGAAAACGACAUUCAGUUUCCGACUAAUCAGACACGCCGACCAAAAUAUCUCGGAGAAAAAUAAAACUGCACGGGGUUGUUUUGUUCCUGUGGGAUUUGUCUAGACUGGCUUCGCGAUACGUAUAAUUACGCAGCGAACUACAACGUUGGAAACAUAGAUUGAAGGAUAUUUAAAUAUCAGAGGCCCCGGAGGACCAGGGCAACGAUGGAAGUUGUCAGACAGGAAUGAUAGAAUGCAAGAGGGUAGCACCGCCGUGGCGCUAGCGAUGGUGACUCCUGGUUACGAUCAGGACCCUGCAAGUGGGGUUGCCGAUUACACGACCCAUCAGGAUCAGGCUCAAUUCGAAGCAGACAAGAGGGCAGUAUACAAACACCCUCUUUUCCCUUUACUCGCAUUACUGUUCGAAAGAUGCGAACAAGCUACCCAGAGCUCGGACAACUCGACGUCCGAGAGCUUCAACAUGGACAUACAGGCCUUCGUCCAACACCAAGAAAGAGACCGAAAGCCCUUCUUGAUCAAUGACCCCGAAAUUGACGGUUUGAUGAUCAAGGCGAUACAGGUGCUGCGGAUUCACCUACUCGAAUUGGAAAAGGUGCAGGAGCUGUGCAAGGACUUUUGCAACAGGUACAUCACGUGCCUGAAGGGCAAGAUGCAGAGCGAAAAUCUGCUACGAAGCGAUUACAGCCACCAUGGACACGAUAUGGGUCCAUCGAGUGGCAGCAACGGCAGCAGUCCCUUGCAGGUGCUGUCUUCUACAGGCAAUGAUGUUGAGUCGGGAGCUAACGGAUUCAGAGUGAGCAGAGGCGACACCCUGUCGGAGAACGGUGCUGCGAGUCAGAUGGCUACGCAAGAAGAAACCGGUAACGACAGGCCGUCAUCGGCGCGAUCAUCUUCCACAGCUCAACGUUCGAACAGAUCCUCCAGCCAGGACCAUGACGAUCCUCUGUCGCCUUCCACGAUACACGGGAGCACGCCCCUCUCGCAAAUCGGGGCUCAUUCUUGUGCACCUGUCAACGAUAUGUAUCUUGGUCAAGAUGAUAUGGACUGUGUGAAUAUUGGCGACAGAAUAUAUUUAGAAGAGGCUGGCUAUUGGGGCCUUCUUGCGUUACAAGAACGUGAAAGUGAAUACGUCGAUGUGGGAGAUGCAAACGAUGAAAAGUAUUUUGAUAUCACUGUGGCUGGCUCCCCUUCGCCUGCGCCAAGCGAGGACGAAGACGAAGGAUGUGGCACUGGUACUGCUACUUCAAAUCACAGUAGUGGCCACGGAGGUAGUCAUAGCAGCACCAAGAAAGGAAGACAAAAACGAGGCGUCUUACCUAAACAAGCUACGAGCAUUAUGCGAACUUGGCUCUUUGAACACUUAGUUCAUCCCUACCCUACGGAGGACGAGAAGCGUCAGAUCGCAAGUCAGACGAACCUAACGUUGCUGCAAGUGAAUAACUGGUUCAUCAAUGCCCGUCGACGGAUUCUCCAGCCGAUGCUGGACGGUGCUGGGGCAGAUCCGGUGCAACGAGCAGGUGGAGGCAAACGUCACAAAGUAUCAAAACACGUAGUGCAACAACAACAAGUGCAGCAACAACAGACGGGCGGCUGGCAAUCCGAAGAAUCUGGCAGUGAUUCUGGCUCCAGCGACGGUGAGGGAGGUGCCGAUAGAUUGAAAGACGGUAACGAUAGCGACGAAGAUGAUCUUCACUGACCUCUGUCGAUCACCGAUUAUGUCAACUUCUUUACGAUAGAGCUAAGAAUCGUCAACUCGUAUCGCGAAUCACCUGGUACGGGACUAUACUGUACACCUUCGAUUAAGUAUAAUUAUAAAGUAGAUUAAGGAGGUAGGUUGUAAGGCUGAACCACGUAUACGUAUGUGCUGCGGCACCAGACGACUGUGAUAACUCGGUGGGCGGUGCCCAGCCUCCUACUUCAUACUUGUAUACUACUGAGGAUUAUGGAAUACUUAAAAAAAAUACGUGUACACAAUGACGUAAACAUGGAAACAGAACACACACACACACACUUAGGAGCAUUUAAAAUCGUUGAAUAUGUGUUGGAGCUUGCAUUGAAAGAACUUGGUCCACGGAUUUACAUGGAACGCUCUCGUUGCACUUUAAUGUAUAAUGUUUAUUUAAUUCAGAUACAAUUCAAAUAUAAUUAUGUAGAAUUUUCCUGUCGAAAUUGAAAGAUAUAUGUUGCAGUUUAAUUCGAAUUGGAAAAGAAAUUGGCAAUGGAGGUGCUAAUUUGACACAGGUGCAUCCGAGUCCAUGUAUAAGGAUGGACCUCCAAAUAAACCUGUAAUGUUACUAUGUCUUAGCGGUUGAUGUGCAAGCUCUCUCUAAAGUAUUUAAGAAGAUAGGAAUGGGCCAAAAAGAGAAGACUAUAAGGACAAAUGAUUUUGUGCAACGAUCUUCUUUCAUUGAACUACUCGUUUGAUUGUCAGAAAUAUACUUUUCGAUUUUUAUAGCUUUAGAGAAUAUUCGACGAAACCUGUGAAUACUUGCGCCUGGCAGAUGCAUUCUGUGCGGGAUUAAAUGAAGUUCAUUCUGCUGCGUGAAUUUUAUAACUUCGUUAUGUUUUAGUUUUACACUUGUAAAGCGAAUCGAUUUUAAGUUUCGUAACUUUAUCGCGUUAUGAGUUUAUAUUGUAUACCGAUCGUUUUAUACUCUGUUAAAUUUUGUUACUUCGAGUGAUUAGAAUGGUUUAUAAGCGUGCGAAUGUUCCGAUCGAGCGAUUCGGAUAUUCUUCAACUCGCACGUGUAUCCAAAUUGCAAAUGUAAAAUACGCACAUACCAUUACGAAAAUAAGGACUUAACGAAGGUCCAUUCCUAACUUAAUUGACAUUUUAAGUCGUAAAUUAGACGUAUUACAUACUUACAUACAUACUAAAAAGGAAACAUAAGUAAACAAUUUGAAUACUUCUUUCUCGUGUACAUCAAGGUCCUGUUAAAUAAGUUGUUUAUUGAUAAUAAACGCCAUCACGCUUGCA
rnacentral:misc_RNA from 1 species